UCAUGCCUACAACAUAGUGUUAAUGCAUCGAAUCCCAUUAGAACUCUACAGUUAAGCGCGUUUGGGAUAAAGUAGUAUUGGGAUGGGUGACCGCUUGGGAAGUUCCUAAUGUUUUACAUGCC
rfam:Picea glauca, whole genome shotgun sequence.